rnacentral:lncRNA from 10 species
AGAUUCCUUCCCGUCCCGCUGGGGCCGGAGGCUUCAGCUCUGGCUUGACCAGGCUCUGGCGGCCUCAGUCUCUCCAUCCCUAGGGCAGGGCGUUGAGCCAGCUCCCGGGUCAGCCCCCAUCUGCUGCUGCCUCCCUCUUUUUCCCCCCGCUGCCUGCACAAUCCCAGAGGAGGGGUGAGGACGUCAAGAGGCUGAGACCGGCAGGGGAGACCUCCACGGAGGGGUGGGGCUGGCCAAAGGUGCCCCUGGGGAAGCAAACAACCCUGCCUACCUCCCCCUCCAGGCAGCCCCAGCCGAUCGAUCCUGUAGUUGCCCAAUGGGUAUUGACCGAGGGCCUGAGGGUCAGGGUCGCUGGUCCAGAAGAGGCCGGGCAGAGGGAGGCCUGCCCCAUCCCCCACACGCUCCCUCACCUAACCCAAAAGGAGGUGCAGGGCUCUCGCCUGUGAUCCCAGCACUUUGGGAAGCCAACGCAGGAGGAUCGCUUGAGCCCAGUAGUUCGAGACCAGCUUGGGCAACAUAGUGAGACCCUCAUCUCUACAAAAAACUUUAAAAAAUUAGCUGGACAUGGUGGUGUGAGCUGGGAG